UGGGGAAUUUUGGACAAUGGGCGAAAGCCUGAUCCAGCAAUGCCGCGUGUGUGAAGAAGGCCUUCGGGUUGUAAAGCACUUUUGUCCGGAAAGAAAUCCUUGGCUCUAAUACAGUCGGGGGAUGACGGUACCGGAAGAAUAAGCACCGGCUAACUACGUGCCAGCAGCCGCGGUAAUACGUAGGGUGCAAGCGUUAAUCGGAAUUACUGGGCGUAAAGCGUGCGCAGGCGGUUUGCUAAGACCGAUGUGAAAUCCCCGGGCUCAACCUGGGAACUGCAUUGGUGACUGGCAGGCUAGAGUAUGGCAGAGGGGGGCAGAAUUCCACGUGUAGCAGUGAAAUGCGUAGAGAUGUGGAGGAAUACCGAUGGCGAAGGCAGCCCCCUGGGCCAAUACUGACGCUCAUGCACGAAAGCGUGGGGAGCAAACAGGAUUAGAUACCCUGGUAGUCCACGCCCUAAACGAUGUCAACUAGUUGUUGGGGAUUCAUUUCCUUAGUAACGUAGCUAACGCGUGAAGUUGACCGCCUGGGGAGUACGGUCGCAAGAUUAAAACUCAAAUGAAUUGACGGGGUCAUAGCUGUUUCCU
rnacentral:rRNA from 1 species